GACCACCUGCGCUUUAGUCAACGGCGUCUUUUUUUUUUUAUUUAAAGAGACGUAUGCUUUAAUCUAACCUCUCCCUGAAAGGAAAGCAACUAACAGCUAAAUUUGGUCUGCAAAACGAGUGUAAAAGAGGAGCACCAAUGGAUUGAAAGUUUGUACUUUCAGCUUCAAGUGAAGAGUGCCUCGAGCAAGGUUGGGAGAUGUGUGAAGAAGUGUGACGAACGGCCAUGGGACUGGAGAGACGGUGGCUUCAGGCUGUCACAACUGCUGUAGCCAUCUGUCUGCUAAGUGUGUCUCAAGUUGUGUCAUCGUUGGUUCGUGCCAGAGAGGGGGGCUCUGUAGAGCUGGGCUGCAGUCUCACUCAUGCAUCCAAAGAAGCCACCACCCC